UACGUAGGGUGCGAGCGUUGUCCGGAAUUAUUGGGCGUAAAGAGCUUGUAGGCGGUUUUGUCGCGUCUGCUGUGAAAAUCCGGGGCUCAACCCCGGACUUGCAGUGGGUACGGGCAGACUAGAGUGUGGUAGGGGAGACUGGAAUUCCUGGUGUAGCGGUGAAAUGCGCAGAUAUCAGGAGGAACACCGAUGGCGAAGGCAGGUCUCUGGGCCACUACUGACGCUGAGAAGCGAAAGCAUGGGGGAGCGAACAGG
rnacentral:rRNA from 1 species